rnacentral:rRNA from 1 species
UCAUCAUGCCCCUUAUGUCCUGGGCUACACACGUACUACAAUGGCUGUUACAGAGGGAAGCAAUGUCGUAAGGCGGAGCAAAUCCUAAAAAACAGUCUCAGUUCAGAUUGUGGGCUGCAACUCGCCCACAUGAAGUCGGAAUUGCUAGUAAUUGCAGGUCAGCAUACUGCAGUGAAUACGUUCCCGGGCCUU